rnacentral:misc_RNA from 1 species
GAAAUGCGAUAAGUAAUGUGAAUUGCAGAAUUCAGUGAAUCAUCGAAUCUUUGAACGCACAUUGCGCCCCCUGGUAUUCCGGGGGGCAUGCCUGUUCGAGCGUCAUUUCACCACUCGAGCCUCGCUUGGUAUUGGGCGACGCGGUCCGCCGCGCGCCUCAAAUCGACCGGCUGGGUCUUCCGUCCCCUCAGCGUUGUGGAAACUAUUCGCUAAAGGGUGCCGCGGGAGGUCACGCCGCAAAACAACCCCAUUUCUAAGGUUGACCUCGGAUCAGGUAGGGAUACCCGCUGAACUUAAGC